rnacentral:rRNA from 1 species
GACGAACGCUGGCGGCGUGCUUAACACAUGCAAGUCGAACGGAAAGGCCCUGCUUUUGUGGGGUGCUCGAGUGGCGAACGGGUGAGUAACACGUGAGUAACCUGCCCUUGACUUUGGGAUAACUUCAGGAAACUGGGGCUAAUACCGGAUAGGAGCUCCUGCGGCAUGGUGGGGGUUGGAAAGUUUCGGCGGUUGGGGAUGGACUCGCGGCUUAUCAGCUUGUUGGUGGGGUAGUGGCUUACCAAGGCUUUGACGGGUAGCCGGCCUGAGAGGGUGACCGGCCACCUUGGGACUGAGAUACGGCCCAGACUCCUACGGGAGGCAGCAGUGGGGAAUAUUGCACAAUGGGCGGAAGCCUGAUGAAGAACCGCCGCGUGCGGGAUGACGGCCUUCGGGUUGUAAACCGCUUUCGCCUGUGACGAAGCGUGAGUGACGGUAAUGUGUAAAGAAGCACCGGCUAACUACGUG